rnacentral:lncRNA from 1 species
CCCGGAAGCGCGCCCGGGCUCCUGCAGGCCGGGCGCUGUGCGCGCCGCGAUCCGCAUUUGCAGGACCAGGGAUGCCGUGCUGCUCUCCCAUGAACCAGUCCCCAAGUCUCUGCUGCAGCCCUGUCUGAACCUCUGACUGUCUGGAUGCUCCACUGUGCUCCUUGCCAAGGUGGGUCAUCACAGCCUGCUGAGUCUUUAAAGCUCCUCCCGGCCCCCACCAAGAGGUGAGCACUCAUUACCCGACACCCGCAC